rnacentral:rRNA from 1 species
AGAAUCAACGCUGGCGGCGUGCCUAACACAUGCAAGUCGCACGAGAAAGGGGAGCAAUCCCUGAGUACAGUGGCGCACGGGUGAGUAACACGUGAAUAAUCUACCUUCCGAGUGGGGAAUAAACUGAGAGAAAUCUUAGCUAAUACCGCAUAACACUUACGAGUCAAAGCAGCAAUGCGCUUGGAGAGGAGUUCGCGGCCGAUUAGUUAGUUGGCGGGGUAAUGGCCCACCAAGACGAUGAUCGGUA